rnacentral:rRNA from 1 species
UACAGAGGUCUCAAGCGUUGUUCGGAUUCAUUGGGCGUAAAGGGUGCGUAGGCGGCGCGGUAAGUCGGGUGUGAAAUCUCGGGGCUUAACUCCGAAACUGCAUUCGAUACUGCCGUGCUUGAGGACUGGAGAGGAGACUGGAAUUUACGGUGUAGCGGUGAAAUGCGUAGAUAUCGUAAGGAAGACCAAUGGCGAAGGCGGGUCUCUGGACAGUUCCUGACGCUGAGGCACGAAGGUCAGGGGAGCAAACGGG